UGCACAAAACUAGUUCAAGGAAAAGAAAGGCAAAGAACCUUGCCAUGAUUGUCAACUUUCGGACAACCAUGGCUGUUUGAAAAAAAAAAAAAAUAUUUUGUUCCUUGUAUUGAUUAAUAUUCAAGUGUAGUACAAAUUCAAGGAGGUGAUGGCAAUAUCGGAUUUUAAGUUGGAAGGAAAAGAUUUUGGAGGAAACGGGAGUUGAAUUUGGACAAACGUGAAAAGCCGAUAAGGUACCGAAGUUCGAUUUGCUGAUCCACCUGUUUAGGAUAUUUGCUGCGUCGUUGACAGUGCUCCCUUGUUCGGAGCUUGUAUUUUGGUACUGACUUUAUCUCUGUAUAUUUAGAUAUAUUGGUCAGGGGUACGACGGGGCCCUGUCCCGUCGUAUGACUAUGCUAUCAUCUGUAGAGGUCUGUAGACAGAGUUAUGUUGUGGGUUUUGUAUAUAUGGUUUGGAUUUUUGUGUGUUUUGUGACAACCUUUCAACUCUCGUGCGUAUAUCUACUUUUAUGAUAUAUUUAGCAAUUUCUACUAA